UCCAUGAUUGCACUGCACAUGUUCAGAGAUUUUGCACCAGCAGUGUGCUGCUGUUGAACCUUUGGCAUUCCUUAUAUAAAUGAGCUUGAACUCCUGGAAACUUGUGAGAUAUGAACGCAUCUCUCGAAAUCCAUCGACUAGUUAAGAACAGUUCCUGGGAUCCUCCCACAUGGUGCAUAAAAGUUGGCCUUCAAUCUCAAUAAUAAUAUUAUAGGAAUCCUUCUUCAAUCACCAUCAACAUGGUUAUCCCUGUAGGUCAACUAUCAAUUUAAGAUUCUGAACAUACUAGCUUAGGCAAAAUGUGCACGAGCUACUGAAGAAACUGAAGAUUGUUGGCAAACAACAUAAGGCAGUAAAGGUUGUUCUUGAACUUCUCGGUUUUUUUAUUCUGAACUUGCGAUUUAUUUACUUUUUGCAGGGUGCAGUGCCACUGCGGGUGCUGGGAGGCCGGGCUUCGCUCCCUUAGGUAGCUGCGUCUUCCACUGCUUAGGACAGCAAGCAGGGGAGGAAGGAGGGACGGACCUGAAGCAAGCACUAGUAAGUUUUUGAAUAUAGUGGACAUCCUACUUAUAAGCUCAGGAAAAAAAAGCACAUCAGACUAUGUACGUCACAGUGCAAAGCAAAGGAAAAUCAAAGUGAACACUUAGUUACAAAAGUUUCCUUACAAGCAUUAAGGCCAAAGCGAGGAAAUAGCUACAGAAUCACGUAGCAAAAGGGCAAAACACACGGGAACAUACGCAUUUUACAUUGACCUUUUGUAUGUUCACUAUAUGCAAAAAGAACAGAAAAAUUAAAGUAAGUUCUCAUAAGCAUAAAACAAACAGGUAGAGGGCACACUAUCAAUUGGGGAAAUUUCUGAAUCUUCUGUACACAUUCUUGAACAAAGAAUGAAUUACUAAUUUUUAUAGUACAAACUUCUGAAUCUUAUUCUGGCACAUUAGCACCUGUACAUACUUGAGAUUUAGGAGAGAACGAACGAGUAGAACAAAGAAUUAAUUUUCACGUACAAAUUUCCAUAUCUUCUGUAUAUACUUGAACAAACAAGACAGCAAAAAGAUAGAGAGCAUAACACCAGCAUUUAUAUGUGAGAUUUAGGAAAAUGAACUAGAAAAAGACAGAGGCAGAUUACGGACCCGGUGACAGAGGGCUGCUGGAUGGCAUAUAAGGCGGAAGAGAAUGUGAGGCAGAUUACGGACGCGGUGACAGAGGGCUGCUGGCUUGUUUGUUCAAGUAUAUGCAGCAUUUAUAAAGAUUUCUGAGGUACCUUUUUUAUUUGAACUUCUUGCUCAAAUUUUUGACCUUCCAAAUUUGACUUUUAGAUAUUAAAAACUUCAUUUUUUUAACAUCGACCUACUUGUGUUUAGCACAGGCACAAGUUUUAUUUCUCUUAGUAAUACAAAAUUCCUAGUUUGGGAAUAAAAAUCCUAGUUUUUUAUUAAAUAUCGAGCCGUUUCGUUUUUUAGAUUUGAAACUUCUAGGUUUUUCUUAGCGGAGAAUAUCCUUUUUUAACAAAUUUGUGUUGAGAUGCUUUUUUUUAGUUUGACCUUCCUGGGAUUGUAAUAAAUGUUUCACUUCUUCUGUUUUUUAAUUUGAACCUCUAGGUUUUUUCUAGAAACAACGAAAAUCCAGUUUUUAUAUAAAUUUUGUAACUCCUUUGGUUUUUUAAUUCAAACUUCUUGGUUUUUUAUUUAUCAAUGGAGAGAAAUCCUAGUGAUGUAAUAAACGUCUAACUGUCCUGUUAUUUAAAUUUGAACUUCUAGGUUUUUUUAGAAACAAGGAAAGUCUAUUAUCUUUUUGAACGAUAAUCCGUACAUACAAAAAUCCCAAAAAGAUAAGUUGCGACAAAUGAAAACCAACACAUAAGUUUUAUUGCAUAGACAAAAUACAUUCUCACAUGAACAUAUAAUCGAUUCAUGGUUCCCAUAUUUUCAGUGCCAUUCUUUCUUGUACACUUUCAGAACUUUUUGUUGGUGGAAUACAAUAACUAGCGCCAUAAUAUAUCCCCUUGAACCUCUGUCGUAUAUAUAUCUGAACUUCAUCCAUGUUUCAUGUUUUUGUGCUCUUUGUUCUUCGUCACACAACACCAAAAAAGCUUUUCACUAAAUGUAGGAUUCAGUAAAAACCUAGCGUUGUUUCCUGAACAUACUUCACUAAAAAAUUCAGGAUACAAAUGCAGGAUUCAAUAUAUGUAGUUACAAACAUCCAUUUUUGUUUGCUAAAAUCCGUAGUUGGCAGUCAGGCAGGUCAAACAACACUUUCUGUAUUGAAGAAGGUCGAGGCGACCUCCUGAGAAGUUCAAUUAAAACAAAGAUUGCAAUGGCAGACCAUGGACAUGGGAAUUUGUUUUGGAUGAGGCGGCAGGCUAGGGAGAGCUCGGUGGCCGGAAACACAGUGGCCAAUGCAUCAGGGGUAUAUGAGCUUUAAGGCCAUCUAACUUUUUUGGUCAAUGCAUCAGGGAUGCUCUGUGCGUGCAUCUCCUCAAUACUGUACUGUUGUCAGUCAUCUCCCGAAGAUGCACACACAUAUAUGGUGGCCCUCUUUAUCUUGUACUACUACGAAAAUUGAGAUUGCUGCUGCUACUACAGUGGAAGUAUAUCACCACUGAUGUGCUAUUUUUGAGUCGGCAUGGAGGCUUGCCAUCAACCUAAUCAUCGAAUGCAUAUGGUAAUUAAGGGCGAUUGACAUGUAGAGCAGUACAGGAGCAUUUGAUACUACAUACUGUGAUUUAGAGAAUGCUAUGACUAUUGAUGGAUGGAAAAGUACUGUCUCCGAGUGAAUAAUAAUCUUACUAACCAGUUCAGUUUGCAGCAUCACCACGGACGCAGGCAUCCCACAUGCAUCUCAACAAACACCACACAACGACC
rnacentral:lncRNA from 1 species